rnacentral:misc_RNA from 1 species
AAGGAUCAUCAACAGAGGGAAAAAGUAAUUUUUUCCCGAAAUCCUGUAUUCACCCCAAGUUCCUUUAAAACUUUUAAUAAAAACUUGUAAAAAGACCACCUCUGUCUGGUGGCGCAUAAUACAUUGCGAAAACUUUCAACAACGGAUCUCUUGGCUCUC